AGUGAACGCUGGCGGUAGGCCUAACACAUGCAAGUCGAACGGCAGCACAGUAAGAGCUUGCUCUUACGGGUGGCGAGUGGCGGACGGGUGAGGAAUACAUCGGAAUCUACUUUUUCGUGGGGGAUAACGUAGGGAAACUUACGCUAAUACCGCAUACGACCUACGGGUGAAAGCAGGGGAUCUUCGGACCUUGCGCGAUUGAAUGAGCCGAUGUCGGAUUAGCUAGUUGGCGGGGUAAAGGCCCACCAAGGCGACGAUCCGUAGCUGGUCUGAGAGGAUGAUCAGCCACACUGGAACUGAGACACGGUCCAGACUCCUACGGGAGGCAGCAGUGGGGAAUAUUGGACAAGGGGCGCAAGCCUGCUCCAGCAUACCGCGUGGGUGAAGAAGGCCUUCGGGUUGUAAAGCCCUUUUGUUGGGAAAGAAAAGCAGCAGGUUAAUACCCCGCUGUUCUGACGGUACCCAAAGAAUAAGCACCGGCUAACUUCGUG
rnacentral:rRNA from 1 species